ACGGGGCCCGCACAAGCGGUGGAGCAUGUGGUUUAAUUCGACGCAACGCGAAGAACCUUACCAGGGCUUGACAUCCCCUGACCGCGUAUGAAAGUACGUUUUCACCCUCGGGUGACAGGGAGACAGGUGGUGCAUGGUUGUCGUCAGCUCGUGUCGUGAGAUGUUGGGUUAAGUCCCGCAACGAGCGCAACCCCUACGUUUAGUUGCUAACGCGUGAAGGCGAGCACUCUAGACGAACUGCCGUUGACAAAACGGAGGAAGGUGGGAUGACGUCAAAUCAUCAUGCCCCUUAUGUUCUGGGCUACACACGUGCUACAAUGGCCGGUACAGACGGACGCAAAGCCGCGAGGUGGAGCAAAUCCUAAAAAGCCGGUCUCAGUUCGGAUUGCAGGCUGCAAUUCGCCUGCAUGAAGUCGGAAUCGCUAGUAAUCGCAGGUCAGCAUACUGCGGUGAAUACGUUCCCGGGCCUU
rnacentral:rRNA from 2 species